rnacentral:rRNA from 1 species
UGGGGAAUAUUGCACAAUGGAGGGAACUCUGAUGCAGCGACGCCGCGUGAACGAAGAAGGCUUUCGAGUCGUAAAGUUCUUUUAUAUGGGAAGAUAAUGACGGUACCAUAAGAAAAAGCCCCGGCUAACUACGUGCCAGCAGCCGCGGUAAUACGUAGGGGGCUAGCGUUGUCCGGAAUCACUGGGCGUAAAGGGUUCGCAGGCGGACAUGCAAGUCAGGUGUAAAAGGCAGUAGCUUAACUACUGUAAGCAUUUGAAACUGCAUAUCUUGAGAAGAGUAGAGGUAAGUGGAAUUUUUAGUGUAGCGGUGAAAUGCGUAGAUAUUAAAAAGAAUACCGGUGGCGAAGGCGGCUUACUGGGCUCAUUCUGACGCUGAGGAACGAAAGCGUGGGUAGCAAACAGG